CCCCCCCCCCCACCCCCGCCCGCUGUUUCUCCGUCUCUCUCUGUAGACGAGGUGGGCGAUCGCUGGUGGCCGCGGGCGGAGGCCGCCCUUUGCUUCGGGUGUCGCCGGCGGUGGAGGGUCAACCCAGCGCUCGGCUGCUCGUGGUGCUCAACGUGGAUUGUGGCGAUUUCGCGAGGUGUCCGCCGUAGGAGAGAUCUGCGCUUGUGCGGCGGCGACGACAGCGGCAGCAAUAAUAGCAGCAGCUUCUUUUUCGCUGUACUUCGGCUGCCCACGGAAGGGACAUCAUGCCGAAGAGAAAGUCUCCAGAGGGUGCUGAAGGCAAGGAUGCAGCAAAACUAACGAAACAAGAGCCAACAAGACGAUCUGCAAGAUUGUCAGCUAAACCAGCUCCACCAAAAGCUGAGCCUAAGCCAAGGAAAACCACUAAGAAGGAACCUGGAACAAAGGCUAACAAAGGUGCUAAGGGGAAGAAGGAUGAAAAGCAAGAAGCUGCAAAGGAAGGUACUACACCAUCUGAAAAUGGUGAAAAUAAAGCUGAAGAGAUUCGCAUCUCUCGCUCAACUGUUAGUGUUUCAACAUCCAGAGGUGCCCCACCCAGCACACUGUCAGUAAAAGGGCAGAUUGAAACAGUGAAAGUUAAGGGUACGAUAGAGAAUUCUGCAUGUGUGCAGUGAAUAGAAACAGAUAGUAGUGUGGUGCUUUUCAUUGUGAACAAUGGAAGCUGGCAGGUACAGAGAACUGAAUCUGUAGAGGACAAGUGCGCAUGAACUGACAUGAACAUUUGAGGAUGAUUUUAUGUACCUCUUGGACAACUUUUAAAAGAUAUUUUUAUCAAGUAUUUUGUAAAUGCUAAUUUUUUAGGACUUACGCUAAGUUGACAAACUGUAUAUGAACAUUUCCUCUCCCCCCCCCAUACCCGUGCUUCUAGAAAUUCCCAAUGUUGCCAAGUUUAAAAACAAAAAGUAUCAACUUAAGAUUGGAAAAAGUGUUUGUAAGAUUGGACAAGCAUUCCAUAUACUCAUUUUUCAGAAAUGUAUGUCUUGUGCAUAUGGUGAUGUUUUUACCGUGGGUGUUUGGAUUUUUCUUGCAGUUUUUUCUAGAGCAAUAAUCUGUGGUGCUUUUGUACUUAAGGUUUAUGCGAUUUUAAUGAAACAUGUAUAAAUAUGGCCACUUGCUGACUAUUUUGGGUUCUUUACAUUUGUUUAAAAUAAUAAAUUAAAAAGACACCUUGCCAGGAAAUAUAAUUUUCCAAUAUUUUAUCUAAAUCUGAGAUAUGCCUUAUAAAUACUUAAUUCUUGUUAGGAAGACACUAAGCACACUUAUUAGACGUUCCCGUGAUUUCAGGACCAGGGUUCAAGCCCAUGGAAAUCAGUGGGGCUUAACACCACAAUCCUAAACAUACUUACUUGACAGUAAGGUCUAUUGUACGACCAGAGUAUCAGACUGCUGAAACACAAAUAUUCCAUCUAAGUGGUUUGUUGGGGAAAGCCAAAAUGCUUUCUGCUCCUGAUCUUACAUUUAUGACACAUGCAGACCUAGGAUAAUAUAUAUGUAUAUAAAAGGUUCACAUAUAUUCAGGAGUCUUUAGAACUUGUGACCCACCAAGACAAAAACUAGCCCACCAGCCAUUCACUGCAGCCUGCCAGGUGUUUCAGAAAUCCCACCUUAUUUCUGCAGUCUAAGGUAGGCAGACAUAAAUAUGAGGAAGGAUCAAGACUAUGUCAGUCAUGACUAGUCCCACUGAAAUUAAUGGGACUCAAGUUUAACCAUGACUAACUUGUCAUAUUUAUUUCAGUAGUGCUUAGUCAUGGGAAACUUAAUCUGGAUCCUGCCCAGGAUGUUAAUUCAGCUCUCGGUGGGCUACCAUACAUUGUUGAUGAUCUGCAUUCAGCUGGAUGGGUCACAGGUUCUUCAGGGCCUGACAUACAAGAACAAAAGAUCUAAAAUGUCCUUUUUUCCUGUCUUUCUUUCUUUGCUUCUUCAACUGAAAUAGACUUUAUAGUACUGUAAUAGCACAACACAUAAUUGAGCUACAAAAACUCCAUCUAUUUCUUGGUGGAGAGAAGCAGAGGAACUAUUUCAGAGCUCCCCCUUUUUGCUCUGCCAGAGAUGAUUACCAUAUAAACGUCUAAGACUACAAAGCCCUAGUUUCUAUCUACUCCAAUUUUAAUCUACAUUUGGUAAUUUCUCCUGCCUUAUCAGAGGAAUGGUGGUUAAUCUAUCAACAUUGCGGUUAAAACAACACUGUAUGUGGUACAGCUAUCUGGUAGAGAUAAUGUAGGUGAAGUAUACUUUAAGAGGUCUGUGGUUGUGAUGGUGGUGUUAACUUAGCUGGAUGAUUUCUAGUACUCCUGUUAAACUGCUUCCACCCAUUAUCCGCAUCUAGUCCUUUUCCCUCUCUGUUUUUAUCCUUUUUGCCUGGGACUUGGAUAUUUCUAUUGUUUGUGGGGUGGAAAGGUGAGGGAAAAUAUUUCUUGUCCUUCAAUAACAUUUAUUUUUCUUGCUACACUGGUGGCCAUAAUGUCUGGGGAUAUAUGCAUGUUUCAGUCAAUAAAUGAAGUAAUUAUCACCUAA